GAAACAACCCAGACCGCCAGCUAAGGUCCCAAAGUCAUGGUUAAGUGGGAAACGAUGUGGGAAGGCCCAGACAGCCAGGAUGUUGGCUUAGAAGCAGCCAUCAUUUAAAGAAAGCGUAAUAGCUCACUGGUCGAGUCGGCCUGCGCGGAAGAUGUAACGGGGCUAAACCAUGCACCGAAGCUGCGGCAGCGACGUUUAUGCGUUGUUGGGUAGGGGAGCGUUCUGUAAGCCUGCGAAGGUGGCCUGUGAGGGUUGCUGGAGGUAUCAGAAGUGCGAAUGCUGACAUAAGUAACGAUAAAGCGGGUGAAAAGCCCGCUCGCCGGAAGACCAAGGGUUCCUGUCCAACGUUAAUCGGGGCAGGGUGAGUCGACCCCUAAGGCGAGGCCGAAAGGCGUAGUCGAUGGGAAACGGGUUAAUAUUCCCGUACUUGGUGUUACUGCGAAGGGGGGACGGAGAAGGCUAUGUUGGCCGGGCGACGGUUGUCCCGGUUUAAGCGUGUAGGUGUGUGUUCCAGGUAAAUCCGGUUCACUUUAACACUGAGGCGUGACGACGAGGCACUACGGUGCUGAAGCAACAAAUGCCCUGCUUCCAGGAAAAGCCUCUAAGCAUCAGGUAACAUCAAAUCGUACCCCAAACCGACACAGGUGGUCAGGUAGAGAAUACCAAGGCGCUUGAGAGAACUCGGGUGAAGGAACUAGGCAAAAUGGUGCCGUAACUUCGGGAGAAGGCACGCUGACACGUAGGUGAAGUGAUUUACUCAUGGAGCUGAAGUCAGUCGAAGAUACCAGCUGGCUGCAACUGUUUAUUAAAAACACAGCACUGUGCAAACACGAAAGUGGACGUAUACGGUGUGACGCCUGCCCGGUGCCGGAAGGUUAAUUGAUGGGGUCAGCGCAAGCGAAGCUCCUGAUCGAAGCCCCGGUAAACGGCGGCCGUAACUAUAACGGUCCUAAGGUAGCGAAAUUCCUUGUCGGGUAAGUUCCGACCUGCACGAAUGGCGUAAUGAUGGCCAGGCUGUCUCCACCCGAGACUCAGUGAAAUUGAACUCGCUGUGAAGAUGCAGUGUACCCGCGGCAAGACGGAAAGACCCCGUGAACCUUUACUAUAGCUUGACACUGAACAUUGAGCCUUGAUGUGUAGGAUAGGUGGGAGGCUUUGAAGUGUGGACGCCAGUCUGCAUGGAGCCGACCUUGAAAUACCACCCUUUAAUGUUUGAUGUUCUAACGUGGACCCGUUACCCGGGUUGCGGACAGUGUCUGGUGGGUAGUUUGACUGGGGCGGUCUCCUCCUAAAGAGUAACGGAGGAGCACGAAGGUUGGCUAAUCCUGGUCGGACAUCAGGAGGUUAGUGCAAUGGCAUAAGCCAGCUUGACUGCGAGCGUGACGGCGCGAGCAGGUGCGAAAGCAGGUCAUAGUGAUCCGGUGGUUCUGAAUGGAAGGGCCAUCGCUCAACGGAUAAAAGGUACUCCGGGGAUAACAGGCUGAUACCGCCCAAGAGUUCAUAUCGACGGCGGUGUUUGGCACCUCGAUGUCGGCUCAUCACAUCCUGGGGCUGAAGUAGGUCCCAAGGGUAUGGCUGUUCGCCAUUUAAAGUGGUACGCGAGCUGGGUUUAGAACGUCGUGAGACAGUUCGGUCCCUAUCUGCCGUGGGCGCUGGAGAACUGAGGGGGGCUGCUCCUAGUACGAGAGGACCGGAGUGGACGCAUCACUGGUGUUCGGGUUGUCAUGCCAAUGGCACUGCCCGGUAGCUAAAUGCGGAAGAGAUAAGUGCUGAAAGCAUCUAAGCACGAAACUUGCCCCGAGAUGAGUUCUCCCUGAGACUUUAGGUCUCCUGAAGGAACGUUGAAGACGACGACGUUGAUAGGCCGGGUGUGUAAGCGCAGCGAUGCGUUGAGCUAACCGGUACUAAUGAACCGUGAGGCUUAACCUUACAACGCCGAAG
rnacentral:rRNA from 1 species